AGUGAACGCUGGCGGUAGGCCUAACACAUGCAAGUCGAACGGCAGCACAGUAAGAGCUUGCUCUUACGGGUGGCGAGUGGCGGACGGGUGAGGAAUACAUCGGAAUCUACUUUUUCGUGGGGGAUAACGUAGGGAAACUUACGCUAAUACCGCAUACGACCUACGGGUGAAAGCAGGGGAUCUUCGGACCUUGCGCGAGUGAAUGAGCCGAUGUCGGAUUAGCUAGUUGGCGGGGUAAAGGCCCACCAAGGCGACGAUCCGUAGCUGGUCUGAGAGGAUGAUCAGCCACACUGGAACUGAGACACGGUCCAGACUCCUACGGGAGGCAGCAGUGGGGAAUAUUGGACACUGGGCGCAAGCCUGAUCCAGCCCUACCGCGUGGGUGAAGAAGGCCUUCGGGUUGUAAAGCCCUUUUGUUGGGAAAGAAAAGCAGCAGGUUAAUACCCCGCUGUUCUGACGGUACCCAAAGAAUAAGCACCGGCUAACUUCGUG
rnacentral:rRNA from 1 species